AUCAGCGAAUAUACCACGUAGGAUGCACCGGUUCUCGUCCGAUCACCGAAGUUAAACUUCGUCGGGCCGAGUUAGUACUUGCAUGGGUGACCGGCUAGGAAUAUCCGGUAUUGCUGACU
rfam:Hymenolepis nana genome assembly, scaffold: HNAJ_contig0006494